rnacentral:ncRNA from 1 species
GGUCAUGAGUGCCAGCGCGUAGCCCCGGCUUGCUGGCCGGCAACCCUCCUCCGCGGUGGGGUGCCCCGGGUGAGGACCGGGCACCGGAGCGACCUCCGGUGCAAGCGUGGCCU